GGCCUGGUGGUGCAGGGGUAGCACAAUCCAUUACUUUCUAAGCAAAUAGAAACAAACUAUGCUUCGUAAUGAAGGGUGGAAAGGGGUGGGUUCAACUCCCAUCCAGGCUA